UAAGGUGGCUAUAGCACGAGGGAUCCACCUCUUCCCAUUCCGAACAGAGAAGUUAAGCCUCGUC
rnacentral:rRNA from 3 species